UUUCCGUAGGUGAACCUGCGGAAGGAUCAUUAUUGAAUAAACCUGAUGUGGCUGUUAGCUGGUUUUUCGCAGCAUGUGCUCGUCCGUCAUCUUUAUCUCUCCACCUGUGCACAGUUUGUAGUCUUGGAUACCUCUGGUGACAACUCGCAUUUUAGGGUCGCUGUGCUGUACAAGUCGGCUUUCCUUACAUUUCCAAGUCUAUGUUCUUAUAUACACCAAAGUAUGUUUAAGAAUGUCAUCAAUAGGAACUUGUUUCCUAUAUAAUUAUACAACUUUCAGCAACGGAUCUCUUGGCUCUG
rnacentral:misc_RNA from 1 species